CUAUAUUUCCUCGCGGCGUGCGCGCCUUGAUUUCACUUUGCCUGGGGAAAAAAAGUUGUGCCGCGGCUCUCCAUGCUAAUACAGAGGUGUGAUUGUAAAGUUCUACUGGUCAUCCCUCUGAAAUCACAAGUUCCAUAUACAUUCCUUACCUGGAGGCAAAGAGGAUGUGCACAUUCACACUUGAGUCCCAUUGACCUUCAGUGAGCUUUGGGCUUCUAAUCACCUUUGAGAAAAGAAUCCUACCUUUGCUGAAUAUCAUAUACUCCCAGAAGUUUCAUAUUAAUGAAGAAAUCAACAGACUAUUGAAGUUCUCUCCUCACUUUCAGUUGAUCUUUCUCCUUCCCUAGGAACGAGCAGUCCAUACCUUCCAGCAUCACUCUCCAGAGUGCGCCUUGACCUCCUUUCCAGGCAGGAGAGAAACUGUCACCGAGAUUCUUCAGAAACCUGAGGCCAACAGCUCUUCAUUUAAAAUAGUGUCACUUGGCCGAAGUCAAAGAUAUAACUGAGAGGGCAGUGUGUCUGGAAAGAUCACUUAAAGCCAACAAUUUUUCACAUUUCUAUUCUGUAGAGCCCCAGUAAGGUUUCAGCUUCCACCAAAUCUCUGCUAGCACUAACUACUCCCAAACCAACUAAUUCUAUAUUAAUUAAACAGACUCUUUCUCCCCGCUGUAAAAACACAGGAACUAAAAAUAAACCUGUUACAAAAUAUGCUUUU